AUGGACCACCAGCAACUCCCUGCCCCCCUGCCGGCGCCGGCGGUGAGGGUGAUUGGCAUCGACGACUUCUUUAAGGCCUUCGACCUUGUGAAAAUCACUGGGCUCCCCAUCCCCGAUGACGCCCCUGAAGUGGAGGGGACAACAUGGGAUUUUACCAAAGCAGACUCCACGGGCAACGACCACUGGGACUGGAUCAAGCGGCAGUGUUACAAUAAGUCAAAUGAGCUCAGUAACAACAGAAGAGAUAUUCUACCACUGCUGAAGAACAAGAGAGCACACCGUAGGGAGAUUGCAAGGCUGGGGAGUCAACUUAAAGAUCUUGAGCAGGGGCUCAGAGCAAAAAUUCUUGAUUUUGAUCAAUUUGUUUUGGGUGGGUUUACUUUCCCAAGUCAUUUUGAUCAUUUCCCUGCCCUCAAGGAGAAGGGGAAGAAGAAAAAGUAA
rnacentral:rRNA from 1 species